CCUACGGGGGGCUGCAGUGGGGAAUAUUGCACAAUGGGGGAAACCCUGAUGCAGCAACGCCGCGUGAAGGAAGACGGUUUUCGGAUUGUAAACUUCUAUCAAUAGGGAAGAAAGAAAGGACGGUACCUAAAUAAGAAGCCCCGGCUAACUACGUGCCAGCAGCCGCGGUAAUACGUAGGGGGCAAGCGUUAUCCGGAAUUACUGGGUGUAAAGGGAGAGUAGGCGGCAAGGUAAGCGAUAUGUGAAAGCCUUAAGCUUAACUUAAGGAUGGCAUAACGCACUAUCUAGCUAGAGUACAGGAGAGGAAAGCGGAAUUCCUAGUGUAGCGGUGCAAUGCGUAGAUAUUAGGAAGAACACCAGUGGCGAAGGCGGCUUUCUGGACUGAACCUGACGCUGAGGCUCGAAAGCGUGGGGAGCGAACAGGAUUAGAUACCCUGGUAGUC
rnacentral:rRNA from 1 species